CAUAGCAGUAGGAGCUUAAAAAUAAGAUCAAACAAACACAACUUUUUUGGAAAACAAAAAAAAACCAACAAAUAUAAUUACAAAACGCAUAUCUAGAGUACUCCAGCACUCCAGAUUUUAGUUUAAGUAAAAAGUGCAGUUUUCAAAAAAGAAGCCAAGAGCUCGAGUGUUUGCGAAGGACCAUAAUCAACUGAUAGCUAGACAUCCGAAUUGGACCAAAUAUAAAUCGGGACAAAUUGGAAUUAAAAAUAAUUAACACAUCAUACACCUGUAACUCCUUAUACAACAUAAUACACUCGGAUACGUAAUACAUACUACAGACCCAACGGAGAUCAAUGCAACACUAGACUAUGGAAAAAACACAUGUGCAAUCGCGUUACACAAUGAAACACCAAUAACAUUUUGAAACAUCGGAGGACUGGAAUCGACUGUAGUAACACUACUUGUGCAUAACACUAUACAACACUGUUACACUGUUACAUAUAGCUUUUAUACUAAUAGCUUGUUCGGUAACACUCGUCGCAGGAGUGGAAUAAUCGACCAUAACACUGAACACUUGAAAAAACUACCUGUGCAAUCGCGUGACUCUCAUCAUUGUCAACGGUUUCAUCAUCGGAGAAGGAGCGGAUUAAUCGACGGUGGUAACUUUUGUUUGCCUGGCACUCAAUUUACGAAAAGCCGAAGCCUUAAAUAUAUAUUUUGUAAGGA
rnacentral:sRNA from 1 species